rfam:Desulfobacteraceae bacterium IS3 Ga0073107_10266, whole genome shotgun sequence.
CCCGGCAAUAAAUUGCCGGGCUAUUUUCAUAACGUCCCUACGGGACU